GACGGUACCUUAGGAGGAAGCCCCGGCUAACUACGUGCCAGCAGCCGCGGUAAUACGUAGGGGGCAAGCGUUAUCCGGAAUCACUGGGCGUAAAGGGUGCGUAGGCGGCUUAGCAAGCCAGGGGUGAAAGGCAUUGGCUCAACCAAUGUAAGCCUUUUGGAACUGUUAGGCUUGAGUGCAGGAGAGGUAAGUGGAAUUCCUAGUGUAGAGGUGAAAAUUCGUAGAUAUUAGGAGGAACACCAGUGGCGAAGGCGACUUACUGGACUGUAACUGACGCUGAUGCACGAAAGCGUGGGUAGCGAACAGGAUUAGAUACCCUGGUAG
rnacentral:rRNA from 1 species